ACUAAUAGAUAGCUCAGUUGGUAGAGCAUGAGACUUUUAAUCUUGAGGUUGUGGGUUCGAGUCCCACCUUAGGUG